rnacentral:tRNA from 1 species
UCCCUGAUGGCCCAGUGGUUAAGACUCUGUGCUUCCAAUGCAGGGGACCAGGGUUCAAUCCCUGAUCAGGAAA